UUCAACUUUCUCUCUCUUAAAAUAAAACUCUGUUGUGCGAUGGUUUCUCUCCCUCAAGACCACCUCUCUCCGGCGAGCGCUUACCGCCGGCGAGCGCCUACCUCUGGCUACAGCCUACUUCCGACGGGACAUGGGAGAUAUUUGAAUUGAUCAUCAAGUGUGACGAGCACUGUUGGGAGGCUUAUUUCUCAAAGUAGGUGUUGGUUUUUAGCUCUGGUGCGCUGCUGCCGGGACUGUCGGAGCUGUUGUUGAGGCAACUGUAUGCUCAGCUGGGUUUGGAGGUUACAACAUUGUUAUUGUUGUUUUGGUUUCAGCUACCUAUUUAACCCCUAAGUAUAGUUUUGCAUCAGGAUUAGUUUUGGUUCCGGGUGGUUUUUUCUUUGGAAUUAUGUUGUUCCGGUUGUUUGUUUGUUGGGAUUUUGGUGUUCCGCAUAUAUACGGCACCUGGUGUUAUUAGUUCCUUUUCGUUUUUUCCGUGAGGGGUACUGUUUUUAGUACAAACUCGACGAGAAUAAAUUUUUCCAAUUC
rnacentral:lncRNA from 1 species